ACAUGCAAGUCGAACGAACUUAACCAUUAGUUUACUAUUGGAGCGGUUAGUGGCGGACUGGUGAGUAACACGUAAGCAACCUGCCUAUCAGAGGGGAACAACAGUUAGAAAUGACUGCUAAUACCGCAUAUGCCUUAGAAUCACAUGGUUCGAAAGGGAAAGGAGCAAUCCGCUGAUAGAUGGGCUUGCGUCUGAUUAGCUAGUUGGUGGGGUAAUGGCCUACCAAGGCGACGAUCAGUAGCCGAACUGAGAGGUUGAACGGCCACAUUGGGACUGAGAUACGGCCCAGACUCCUACGGGAGGCAGCAGUCGGGAAUAUUGCGCAAUGGAGGAAACUCUGACGCAGUGACGCCGCGUGCAGGAAGAAGGUUUUCGGAUUGUAAACUGCUUUAGACAGGGAAGAACAAAGACAGUACCUGUAGAAUAAGCUCCGGCUAACUACGUGCCAGCAGCCGCGGUAAUACGUAGGGAGCGAGCGUUAUCCGGAUUUAUUGGGUGUAAAGGGUGCGUAGACGGGAAGUCAAGUUAGUUGUGAAAUCCCUCGGCUUAACUGAGGAACUGCAACUAAAACUGAUUUUCUUGAGUACUGGAGAGGAAAGUGGAAUUCCUAGUGUAGCGGUGAAAUGCGUAGAUAUUAGGAGGAACACCAGUGGCGAAGGCGACUUUCUGGACAGAAACUGACGUUGAGGCACGAAAGUGUGGGGAGCAAACAGGAUUAGAUACCCUGGUAGUCCACACCGUAAACGAUGGAUACUAGGUGUAGGGGAUAUUAAAAUUCUCUGUGCCGCCGCUAACGCAAUAAGUAUCCCACCUGGGGAGUACGGCCGCA
rnacentral:rRNA from 1 species